rnacentral:rRNA from 14 species
ACCUGGUUGAUCCUGCCAGUAGUCAUAUGCUUGUCUCAAAGAUUAAGCCAUGCAUGUCUAAGUAUAACUCUUUUACUUUGAAAACUGCGAACGGCUCAUUAUAUCAGUUAUAGUUUAUUUGAUAGUCCCUUACUACUUGGAUACCCGUAGUAAUUCUAGAGCUAAUACAUGCAGGAGUUCCCGACUUCGGAAGGGAUGUAUUUAUUAGAUAAGAAACCAAACCGGUCUCCGGUUGCGUGCUGAGUCAUACUAACUGCUCGAAUCGCACGGCUUUACGCUGGCGAUGGUUCAUUCAAAUUUCUGCCCUAUCAGCUUUCGAUGGUAGGAUAGAGGCCUACCAUGGC